AAUCAACGUCAGGCGUCCUUAUGUGCAGCCACCGUUGUUCUCAUAGAUAUGAAUGAGUAGAUAGGACACGCCCCUUUGAGCUGCGUGCUACAGCGAGGCUAAGCUAGUGGGAGCAAAGUUUCAGUGCAUUCCGUUGAUGUAGACGGCAUGAAAACGGAAACAACAAGUAUGCCGUCUCACUGUGCUGCAUACAGUUACACACUACGUCGUACGAUUGAGACAAGGAAACUUGGAAUGACUUUUCAUAGGUUUCCCAGAGACUAUGGGUUGAGGAGGAAUUGGAAGUUUGCCGGCUUAGACCUGGUGUCAUUCCAUCAGUGUUAAACUUCCCGGCUCAUCUUGGAAGAGUACGUGCCAGAAAGACCACGACCAAGCAGCCUUGAGAUCUUAGGCAGCGUCUCCCUCAGACCAAAGAACUACAGACUCUUCACAACCUGCUCAAACUCUUGGUACAGGACCUCACCACACGGGUCAAGAAGGUUUCUGUCUCAUUUCUACUCUGAAGCUCACCUUCUCCUGCUCAAACUGCUGACAAAUGUUUCUGCUGCUCUAAAGUCUGGUCUCCAGAACUUCCUAAAAACUCUCAAAGGCUCUUCUGCUGCAGGUUGCUUUGUAGAACUGUUGCAGAAAACCUCACUAAACCACAUGGAGGAGCCUCAAGAUAGUCGUCCAAAUGAAACCGUACAAAAACCAAACUAGCACAACCCAAACGCUAAA
ensembl:lncRNA